ACAAAAAAAAAAAAAAGAAAGAUAUUUUCAGAUAAAAGAAAACUAAAAAUUAUUUGGGAGCAGAUUUUACAGUAGGGAAUGCUGAAUAAAGUUCUUCAGGCUGAGAGGAGAUGAUAUCAGAAGUGAAGAUAUUUAAGGAGGAGUGAAUGUUUAAAAGAGUAAUAUAGAAAUAUUACUUCUUUAAGAGAGCAUAUGACUGUUUAAAGCAAAAAUUGUAACAUUGUACUUUGGGGUUAAUAGUGUGUAGCUGUAAUAAAUAUGACACCAAUAGCAUAAGUACAAGAACUGAUACACUGGAGGGGUUCAACAGAAGGUUUGAGCAGGCAGAAGAAACAACCAAUGAACUUUUGAAGAUUAAGGCAAUUAAAAUUAUUUAGUCUUUACUUCCCUGGUGGUGCAGUGGUUAAGAAUCUGUUUACCAAUGCAGGGGACAUGGGUUCGAGCCCUGGCCCGGGAAGAUCCCACACGCCGUGAAGCAGCUAAGCCCAUGUGCCACAACUGCUGAGCCUGCGUGCUACAACUACUGAAGCCUGCGCGCCUAGAGCCCGUGCUACGCAGCAAGAGAAGCCACCUCAAUGAGAAGCCUGCACACAGCAACAAAGAGUAGCCCCCACUCGCCGCAACUAGAGAAAGCCCGUGUGCAGCAACGAAGACCCAGUGCAGCCAUAAAUAAUAAAUAAAUUUAUAUUUUAAAAAAUCCAGUCUUAGGAGCAUAUAGAAAAAAGAAUGAAGAAAAAUGAGUAGAGCUUGAGGGACAGGUGGGAUACCAUCAGACAUACCAACAUAUGUGUAUGGGAAUCCCAGAAAAAGAGGAAAAAGGGAAAGGGGCAGAAAAAUCAUUUGAAGAAAUAAUGGCCUCAAGCUUUGCAAAUCUGAGGAAAGACAUGAAUAUACAUGUGCAAGAAGCUCAAUGAACUCCAAGCAGGAUAAACCCCAAGAGAUCAAAUUGCUGAAAUCCAAAGACCAAGAGAAUUUGAAAUAGGAAGAGAGAACUGAUUAAUCAGUAUGAGGGAUCCUCAAUAAGAUUAGCAGCUGAUUUUUCUUUAGGAACCAUAGAGGCAAGAAGUCAAUGGGAUGACAUAUUUAAAGUCCUGAAAGAAAAAACUGUCAAGAAAUCUAUCUCUGGCAAAGCUAUCCUUCAAGAAGGAAGGAGAAAUUAAGACAUUCCUAGAUAAACAAAAACAGAGGGAAUUUAUUACCAGUAGACCUGCCCUACAGGAAGAGCUAAAGGGAGGUCUUCAGGCUGAAGUGAAAGGACAGUAAUUCACAGCCACACAAGAAAAUAAAGAACGCUGGAAAAUGGAGCUCAGUGGUACUUGGGGUCAUUUCUCAUCUGUACCCCAGAAGUCUUUGGAGCUAACAGGAGUCCUGUGCAUACUCACCUGGGCUUGGACCCGCCGUCUUCAUAACCACAUGCUCCAGACUCAUGGACUCGGCUCCUUUCAGUGUCCAUAUUGGCAGCUUUUAUCCAUUUAUUCAACAAAUACUUACUCGAGGCCUGCCCUACGCUCAGUCCUGGUCUGGGGUUACUGUGGUAAACAAGACAGGUGUGGCUCUUACUCUCAUGAAGGUUAGUGAGGGGAGAAAGGAAUGAGCAAAUACACAAGGUGAUUUGGGUGGUAAGUGCCGUGAAGAAAAGAAAGCAGGCUGAUGCGGGAGAAAGUGACUGAGGUUGUCAAGACGGGCCUCACAAAGAGGUGACGCUUGAGACCUAGAUGAUCAGAUAGCACCAGAUCAACAGGCAGGUUUCUCUGUUGAAAAUAACAGGAUCAGACUCUAGUUAACGUCUAAGCAGAAAAGGAAUGCACUGGGAGGGUAUUGGGUACUUCAGAGAAUGGGCGGGAGGCCUGGAAAAUUAGGCCAGCACAGAGGCGGUUGCUAAGGGAGGUUGGCCAGAACACUGAUGAAAAUCAUGCUACAGCUGGUUCUUGUUAGGACCCAGCCGCCGCUGCUCUGGAUACCGCCCUCGAACCCCGGACCCACAGGCACACCACCAGAGGGACCUCCAAACUGGGCCUGAUCACCGCAGACCACAGGUUGUUAACAGGUAAGCCGGGGUUGCUCCCAUCUCACACGGAGUGAAAGCCACAGACUUUAUAAUGUUCUUGAUCCAGUCCCCCGUUCCCUAUGCUCUCAUCUAUCCUCCUUUCCUCGCCCCAACCUGCUCCACCCACAUCGCUCUCCUUGCAGUUCCUGUCACACCAGGCCUGCCCCCACCUCUAGGGGCACUGGCUGUUCCCUCCACUUGGAGCACUUUUCUUCAAGUCUCCCCCAGAACUACCCCUUCACCUCCUCCAAGUCUAAGCUCACAAGUCACCUUCUCUGGAGGCCCACCACAUCUCCCUAUUUAAGCCCAGCCUCCCCUGCCCACAGGAUUCCUUUAUGUUUUUCUUUUUUUCCUUGUCAUCUUUUAACACGUUAUGUUUACUGUUUAUUAACUGUCUUGCUGAUGAAUCUGCCCCAGGUGCCUAGACCAGUGGCUGGCCUUGGAGUUAACACUCCACAGCUGUUGGUUGGCUGUGUAGAUGAUAAAAUGGCAUAAAAUGUCCUGGGAGGCAUAAGUUGAAUCCUGGUCUGUCACUAACCAGCUGUGAUUCUGCACAAAUAUUUUACCCGUCUGUAACAUGGGCACCUACCUCAAAUGGAUUCUUGGUGAGGAGAAAAUGAGACAAUAUGCAGAUUAAGCCCUGGUUGCCAGGCUCUCGUUCUUUCCUGCUCACCCAUUCAAAUCUAUUAAGAUGAGUCUCCCAAGCCCAUAUGAUCACGAUGAACGUUUCCAUUUACUUUGGAUUAUAUGUCAUUAUAAAUAUUAACAAAUAAGACUUAAAAAGGACACCUUCGGGUAGGUCAGACAAAAGUACAAAAACUGUGUGUGGGGCUGCAAUUUCAGGACAGUUUCUGCAGCCAUCACAUGAUAGCAAAACGGUGGUAAGCAGUGCACGAGUCUGCGUCGAAGACAGCCAGAGUCCAUGCAUCGGGAGGUUCUCUCGGUUGGAGAAAGAACAAAGGGAGGACGUGCUCGGGCCAGGAGAUGCAGUUCCUCGCUCUCGCCACUAGAGGGCUGUGAAGAUUCAUCAAGAGGACAGUGGUUGUAAAACCCUUACCACACACAAAGCCUCCUUAAGGAAAACCAGGAUUACCUGACCAGCAAAGUUUGCCAGGUACUGUAUGGGAGCUGGAGUCCCGUUUCCCCUGCAAAAUGGAAAAAGGCUGAUGGGCACUUGGUGGGAUUCACAUCAUCACCCCAGGCCUCAGAUGGGAAUGUGCUUUGUGUCUGCAGCAUAAGGUGUAGCCCCAGUGCCCCUUGAGAGCCCUGUGCAAGCGUUGGUGUGGGUGUGGCGUCCAGAGCUCUGAGCUGGAGGUGGUGGGGCAGGGGCCAUGGAACUUGGUCUGCCUCAGCUGUGGUAGGGCUGGAAGGCCUCAGGUAGAUCACUUUCCCUCUCUGGGCUUUGUUUCCCACCAGUGCAGUGAUGGGUUGAACACAGAAAUUCCUGGGUUCUGCAUUUGUUCAUCCAGCAUUCCUGAAGGCCCCUUAGUCGGCAGGAAAAGUUUGGGGCUUCAAGCCUGGGCCCAAGAUUCUGAUGCCCUCAACCCCUUCCUGGAGACCUUUACCCAGGGUGCAGAGGGCUCUCUCUUAGCUCCUGGAAGACAGAACCAGCCCUUCCCAGAAACGAGGACCUGGACUGCUGGUGAGUACUCCUGAAAGGGAUCUCAGUAGGGCUAGGAUGCAGGGGCAGCCACCUGGGGCUCCCCACUUCCCAACCCUGAACCCAGAAGGGCCCUGGGUGGGGGGGGUGGGGGAAGGGGAGAGGAGGGUAAGGACAAGGAGGACUUUUUGGUUCUUUUCAUGCAAAGAAAAACAGACUCUUUCUCUUCUUGACUGCAGCUGACCUGAUGCUUAAGCUUGGGGCGGGAGGCAGGAUCCAUCUUCCAGCUUCCUCAGGAGGAGUAAGAUCAAAGGUAGGAGAGCUGGGUCUGAGAACUGAACUUGACCUUGCACCAACAUCAGUUUAAGCCACUCUCCCUAUGUCUACAAGCCCAGUUGGCCUGGCAGCUAGGGGUGGGGUGGGAGCAGGACUGGGUGCUGUUGCCCCUAACAAACCCUGCUCCCUCUCCCAGAGAGACCCUGGGUCCCAGGCAGUGCCCCUGGCCCAAAUCACCUUUCGCCUCCAGGCCUUGUAUAUGGUUCCCACUGCUUACACUGCUGUUCCCCCUUUGUCUGCCUAGAAACUCCACUUCAAGGCCUUGCUAAAGCAUCACUUCCUCCAGGAAGCCCUCCCUGCUCUCCCAGCCGAGUCAGCAGAAUCCACAGAACGUGCAGGUACCUGGAAUUAUAACCAGUCAAUAGGCAGAGGGUGAGAAGACACUCUGAGUACACAUGGAGCCAGCGGGGCUUGGCAGAGAGAUUCCCAGGCCUCCCAUUCAUCCUAACCAUCGGAUGUCCCCAGCACUACUCUGUGACAAAGGUGAGCAGUCAGUGCAGUGGGAGAAGCAAGUUCGUCCUUCAUCACCUGGACCUCUGUUGACAGCCCAUUCCUGACAGCACAGAGCCCCUCUAUCCCCUAGGAAAGAGGAUUUUCUUUAUUUCUGGAAGUCUAAUUUUCACAGCUCACAUUUCUCACCAGAAAAACAGUUUUAGCAAAGUUGGUCCCUUGCUAGAGCUCUUCUUUUUGUAAUAGCAGAUUAUGGAGAUAGAAUUCACAUGCUAUAAAAUUCAUCUUUCUCAAGUGUAUAAUGCAGUGGUUUUUGGCAUAGUCCCUGAGUUGUACAACCAUUGCCGCUACCUCACUGGAGCUUUGAGGAAGGAAGAAAGGUCUUUUGGGCAGUGACAGCAGUGCUUCCUGCAGGGAAAGAGGGAAGCCCUGCUUGCGGGCCAGCUCCCUCCACAGGCAUCAGCUCCUUAGACUUUGAUGCAGAACAGCAGUCUUCAUCUGGGGCUCAGGAAGGUGGAGGGACUCACCCAAGGUCACACAGCUGCUCAGCACAGGGGUGGUGCUCAGAAGGCAGGCCCUCUCCUUUGCAAAGCUUCUUACCCGGUCCCUGCAUGGACACUAGUGACAAUUGCCCUGCUCCUGCUGACAGGACAUCUGUCUCACCCACUACCAGUUUCCUGGUACCCAACUUGAUGCCUGGCACUGGGUGGGAUCAGUGAACAUAGAAAGUGGUACCUCAUUAUUGCUUUUCUGUGCACUUUUUUCAAAAGUUGUGAUUGUUAUUACAUAAGAAAUACUGGUUCACUAUAGAAGCACUAGAAAAUAUGUUAUUAACAGAAGUUGGGGGUGGAGAGAGAAAUGAAUACACAGGUCUGCACAAAAAACCUGUUCUUGCAGCUUUAUACAGCCAUCAGAAAUUGGGAACAGCCCCCCUGCACUUCAACAGGAAGCGACCUGACGGACGACUACUUGGCAAUGCAGACCUACAGACCGAACUCCGGGCUCAGGCACCACGUGGCUGGCUCCCCAGAGCAUUAGGUUAUGUAGGAGUUGCCUUCAUAAGUCAGUCUGGAAAAGGCAAAACUGUUGCGAUAGAAAACAAAUCAAUUGUUGACUGGGGCCAGGGGACCUUUCUGGGGUGAUGGUAUCUGGGUCUUAACCCUGGUGGUGGUGACAAGGUUGUAUACGUCAGCCAGUCACACUUCAGAAGGGGAGCAACCUACUGGAUGUAAAUUAUACCUCAAUAAAGAUGACUCUUUAAACAGGUUGGGGGGGUUCCCUUAAACCCUCACCCAGAGGUGGUGAGUUUCUGCAUUCCUUACAAGCUUCCAUGCACUUCUUGACUCAUCUUUGCCUGUUUUACUUUGGGGGUGAGGAGGAGGGAUGGGGGCGGUCCUGCACAGUGGGAGUGUCUCCCAGCCCUGCCUCUGGAAGGCCCUGAAGGGAAGCUGUCCCCGGCUCCCUCCGCGCUGCACGGCCAGUGUCCAUCGAGUGAUCCGCACGAGGCCCCAGCUAGGGGUCAUCCCCUGUCCUGCUCCUAGGCCUUUGUCUAUGCUGUCUCCCUGCCUGGAGUCCCUUCUCGUCUCACCUCACCACUGCAGGGGAGUUCCCGAGGGGGUGUGGCCUGUGGGCGAGAAAUGCACCCUGGCCACGCUCCAGGGGCCCGCCCAUGGCUGCUCACCCUCCCUAUCAGCACCCCCUCCUGCCUCGGUCACCAGGACUCAUGGAGCCUCCCUACCAGUGCCACCGCUGGUCCCUUCUGCACAGCGACUGCUGCUCACCUGAGGCCCCUAGAAGACAGCAGAGGGCUGGAGAAGGAAGGGGUUGCCCAGGGGAGCACAGCAAGUUGCUUUGAGCUUUCUCAGUGCCCCUAGGUGUGAGAUGGAGGGGGUAACAAGUACUGCACAGGGCUGCUGGGGGGCUUCAAAGGGGCCUAGCACAGCCCUGGCACCCAGCAAUUACUUGGUACGUGUUAGUGAUGAUUGUUUGUUAACCAUCAUCAGAUCCUAAAGAACUGGACUUGGGGUC